GCACUGGUAGUUCAGUGAUAGAGUUCUUGCCUUCCACGCAAGAGGCCCAGGUUCAAUUCCCAGCCAACUCU
rnacentral:tRNA from 1 species